GAAUUCGAUUAGUAACGCGUGAGAACCUGUCCUUGGGAGGGGAACAACAGCUGGAAACGGCUGCUAAUACCCCAUAGGCUGAGGAGCAAAAGGAGGAAUCCGCCCAAGGAGGGGCUCGCGUCUGAUUAGCUAGUUGGUGAGGCAAUGGCUUACCAAGGCGACGAUCGGUAGCUGGUCCGAGAGGAUGAUCAGCCACACUGGGACUGAGACACGGCCCAGACUCCUA
rnacentral:rRNA from 1 species